UGCAGAAGCCAUUCCCACCCCGGGCUACGAUCUCGUCAGAUCUCAUAAGUGAAACGGGGCCAGGUCAGGCUGGUACUGCUGGGGACACCUCUGAGGGAACCCCAGAUGCCUCAGGAA
rnacentral:rRNA from 1 species